rnacentral:rRNA from 1 species
UUGAUUUAUUAUAAAAGUAUCUGAAUAAAAUAUUUUUAUAUAAAUAUUUUUAAAAUACUUAAGGAAUUGAAUCAUCUUAGUACUUAAAGGAAUAUAAAGUAAUAACGAUUUUCAUAGUAGUGGUGAAUGAAUUGAAAAAUUUUAAACAUUAUAUAUGUAAUAUUUUAUAUAAGUAAUAUAAAAGUAUAUUUUAUAUGAAUAUUAUUAUAUAAAUAAUAAGAAUCAUCUUAUAAAAUUUAAUAUAAUAAAAGUUGAUAGAGAAAUAGUACCGUGAGGGAAAGAUGAAAAGAAUUUUGAAAAAAUAGUGAAAAGAACCUGAAUUUUAAAUUUAAAAAAUUAUAAUAAAAUUUAUAUUAAUUUUAUUAUAUUCUUGUUGAAGAAAGAAUUAGCAAGUUAUAUUAAAUAGUAUAAUAAUUAGGUUAAAUAUUUAUUAUAAAUGAAGCCAAAGUGUAAUCGAGUUUAUUUUAAUUAAUAAACAUUAAAAUAUAUUAUUUAUUAUAGACCCGAAAUCAAAUGAUCUAAUUAUGUUUAAAAUAAAAUUUAAGUAAUAUUAAAUUGAAGUUUGAAUUGAUUAUUGUUGCAAAAAUAUCAAAUAAAAUAUAAUUAGAGGUGAAAUGCCAAUCGAAUUUGAAGAUAGCUGGUUCUCUUUGAAAUAUAUGUAAGUAUAGUAUAUAUAUAUAAAUAAAUGUAAAACUCUUUUUUUAUUAAAUUAAUUUAAAUAAUUAAUAUUAAUAUAAAUAAUUUAAUAAUUUUAUUUAAUAAAAUAUAUAUAUAAUUAGAAAAUAAAGGAUAAGCUUUAUUUUCUAUAGGGAAACAGCCCUAAUUAUAAAUUAAGAUUUUUAAAUAUUAGUUAAGUUUUAAAAAGAAUAUAAAAUUAUUUAGAUAGUUAAAAAGUAAAUUUAGAAGCAGUUAUCUUUUAAAGAGUGCGUAAAAGCUCAUUAAUUUAGUAAUUUUAAUUCAAAAAUAAUCGAAAAUAAAUUAAUUAUCGAAAUUAUAAAAUUUAAUAUUAAUAAUAAUUAAAUUGGUAAAAGAGCGUUUUGAUAAUAUUUAUUUAUAUGUAAAUUAAAAUAAUAAAAUCAAAAGUGAUAAUGCUAAUUUGAGUAAUGUAAAUAUUGGUAAAAAUCCAAUACUUCUAUAAUUUAAGGUUUCCAAUUUAUAAUUAAUUUGAAUUGGGUUAGUCGAAUCUUAAAAUAAGAUGAAAUGUGUAGUUGAUAGUUAAUAAGUUAAUAUUCUUAUACUAUAUAAUAAUUUAUAUUUUAAGACUAAUAUAAUAUUUUUAUAUUAUAAAAAAAUUAUUAAUAUAUAUUUUUAUUAUAUAUUCGUACCGUAAACUGACACUAGUAAAUAUAUAUAUAUUAUUAAGAAGUUGAGAUAAUUUUUUUUAAGGAACUAGGCAAAUUUAUCUUGUAACUUAGGGAUAAAAGAUACUUAUUUAGUUGAAAAUAAUAAAUUUAAGCGACUGUUUAACAAAAACACAAAUCUUUGCUAAAUUGAAAAAUGAUGUAUAAAGAUUGACAUCUGCCCAGUGCUAUUAUGUAAAAAUAAUAUAUGUAAUUUAAUAUUAUAAUAUAUAUAUAAGCUAUAGUAAACGGCGGCUGUAUCUAUAACGGUCCAAAGGUAGCGAAAUUCCUUGUCGGGUAAGUUCCGACCUGCAUGA